UAUAUAUAUAUAUGUAUCUCCUAUUAGUUCUGUUUCUGGGGAGAAGCCUGACUAAUACAUCAGCCAAAGAGGGGACGGUGUUGCCUGGGAGGAAGGUAAAGUAAAAAAUGAAACACACAAAAGCCCCCAGAAAAACUCAUAUAAGUUACAGGGUACCCCGAUGUCACGAAUAAACUCUAGAGCAAAGAAAGAGAAUGAGGCCAGAGUUUACUUCAAAGUCAUGUAGGUUGGACUGUGGCAGAGUUUCACUGGGUGCAUGGCCACCUCGCUGGGGGCUCUACCUCGCAGACUUGUAUACUGCUAAGUGCGGCUGUGUGGCUAGGGUCAGACCAACGGAACAUGAGGGGAAACUGAUGUAACUCCAGGACAUCUCAGUAAAGGUGAAGUCAUCUUCCUAGACCUUUACCUCUUCUGGUUUUUGAAGGUCGGAAACCUAAUUUGAAAAUGGUCCGCUUUUAACCCCAGCGACAAGCACCACACUCUGAAAGAUGCUGGAGGAAGGAGAUGGAAGGAAUCAAGGCCCCUGAACGACCUCAUGGCGCGGAGCCGCCACAGUAGCAUGGGCUGUCGGUCCAUCUCUGGACUGCGUUCCAUUAGAGAGAUGAAGCUCUCCCCUAUUCGUCACGAUAUCCUGGAGUCUCUGUUACAGCAGUUCAGCUUUAUCGUAACUGAAACAGACACAUGGGAUCAAGCACAUGGGGAAUCACUGCAGUUCCACACAGUGGGGACAGAAGUGACAUUUGUCUUCUGUGUUCACUGCUGCAGCCCAGAGGACGGAACUACUGGUAUCUGCUCAUAGUAGGCACUCUGCAAGUAUGUGCUGAGUGAAUAGAUAGGGGGAGUCAAUGCCGGAUUGGAAUUGAAAGGAAAGUGAAGAAGUGGGGCGAGGGUAUCGAGUUACAUGUCUGUUACAAAGAUCUGCUGACGAGAAGGGAGAGGCUCUGAGGAACCAUCUGAGUGUCUUUGCAGAAGCAUAAGGCAUGUGUGCGUGAACGUGACACAGCAAAGACGAGGGCAGAGCUAAACAAAACUGGAACACAUACAGUAUGAGAAAGGAGGGAGACAAAAGAAAGUGGGAAGCACGGUGAACCACUGGAGAGAAUGGUGCCCAGAACAGGGGCCCAGCUGAUGUGAGCAGAGGAAGUUGAAAACAGUCAUCGUGAAGAAAUAGCAGAGUGAGCGCAGGACCACGCCGGGAAGAAAGGGGCAUCCUGAAAGGCUCGCUGAUGAGGCUGUUACAGUAGCGAUCCACCCGGAUCACGUGAAGUUGCGUCGCCUAAAUUGUGCACCGAGAAUGUCUCUUGGGAGUUGUUUCCCUCUGGCUUUGUCAAAGUACCUGCUUCAUAAGGCCUGCCUCCUUGGAGCCUGGGACACGUCUGACCACCCAGAUCGUCCUCUGUGACACAACUGUCCCCUGAACCUCUGCUCGGACCUCCCCCGAUGAACCGCUCCCAUCUCCUUCCUUACUGGCUUCCCCUGAUGACCCACGGAUGUCCCUGCAGUCACAGGCCUUUUGCUGGGGGCUGAGCAAGUACAGCAUCGUUCAUUCUGACUCCCCCAUCCAUCCGUCUCUCUGAAUCUGCUAAAACUUUCUUAGUCGCUCUCUAACCAUGACUCAUCUCACCAAGCAAAACGGGUAAAGCCAUGUUACCAACUAUGUUGUCAUUUUAAGUUUACAACCCACGGAACACUUAUUCACCGGCGCAUGUCGAUGGCUACGCACGUUGAUUUAAACCCCCUUUUCCAAUUAUGUCAUUAUGGGAAUAACUGGACACAUUUUGAAUCUUAAUUAUCUUUUUAUGCUAUACCGUAGGCCAUAGGAGAGGGAUGACAGCUUUCUUUGGACUGACACCCUAGCUUGUACACAGGGUUCAAGUCACAUGAGCUGAGAUCAGUUUUAAGUUCAAAGAAUAUAUGUUUUAACUUCCUGAGGAAGCAGAGAACAUGAUUUUACCAAGUUGCCAUGUUAAUCAAACAGAGACACAGCCUUGAAGGGGAGCGAGCUCACAAUCAGAGCUCAGGCAGGUCAACAGUGUGUCCCAUGAGAACGGUGGCCAUCAGGGGUGCGCCAUUGCUUUCAGAACCUGCGUCAUUAAAAAUACAUCUUCUCUUCUUCUCAAGUAUUCCCCUUGGUUGCUCAAAAUUUCUUCACAGAAGAAAUAGAAGAAAAAGUAAUACAUAGCACACGAAAUCAAAGAACCAGGGUUUCGUUUAGAAGAAUGCAAAACUGUAUUUACUGUGAUUACGAUUCAGAAAAACUGGCAGCCUCCAAUUUCUUUUCUGCAAUUCAAUUAACCUUAUGCGUACCUUUCUGCUUUAAGGUGUUAAUUUUUUCCACUCAAGAGCAAACAAAAGGAGAAUGAAAUAAAUUAUGAGAAUGUGAAAUGUAACUGAUUAAAAAAAUGGGAGAGACUGGCAUCUCUUCCUCGGGGAACAUUUGUUUUAGGGUCACCUUUCAAUUCCUCUAACUGCUGUCUUCAGAAGGACUUACAUUAAUUCUGGAUAUUAUUUUCAGUUUUUUGAAGAAAUUGGCUCACGUUUCUCACAAUCAAGGAGUUGGAACUUGAUUUUGCAUAAGAUAUGAGUGUUGCAUCUGGAAAAGAACUGCCCCAUCUCCCACAUAAUUAGGAUAAGUUCAAGUAGAUCGUAAGUAACAGACGCUUCAAUACCCCUCACGCUUACAAGGAAAUCUUCAGAUAGAACAGUAAUACACAGUCUGCAGCCAAGGUGGUUCAAGGUCAGUUUC